GGAGCAGUAGCUCAGUGGUAGUGCUCCCGCUUCCUAUGCGGGAAAACCUGAGUUAGAUUCUCGACUGCUUAC
rfam:Toxocara canis scaffold534, whole genome shotgun sequence.